rnacentral:rRNA from 1 species
GACGAACGCUGGCGGCGUGCCUAAUGCAUGCAAGUCGUACGCAUCGUGCUUGCACGAUGAGUGGCGCACGGCUGAGUAACACGUGGGUAUCUGCCCCGUAGUGGGGGAUAACGCCGCGAAAGCGGCGCUAAUCCCGCAUACGCUCGCAAGAGGAAAGCAGCAAUGCGCUGCGGGAGGAGCCUGCGGCCCAUCAGGUCGUU